AGUAAUCAUAUGCUUGUCUCAAAGAUUAAGCCAUGCAUGUGUAAGUAUGAACUAUUUCAGACUGUGAAACUGCGAAUGGCUCAUUAUAUCAGUUAUAGUUUGUUUGAUGGUACGUGCUACUCGGAUAACCAUAGUAAUUCUAGACCUAAUACAUGCAACAAACCCCGAGUUCCGGAAGGGAUGCAUUUAUUAUAUAAAAGGCUGACGUGGGCUUUGCUCGUUGCUCCGAUGGUUCAUGAUAACUCGACGGAUCGCACGGCCCUCAUGCCGGCGACGCAUCAUUCAAAUUUCUAUACUAUCAACUUUCGAUGGUAGGAUAGGGGCCUACCAUGGUGGUGACGGGUGACAGAGAAUUAGGGUUCGAUUCCGGAGAUGGAGCCUGAGAAACUGCUACCACAUCCAAGGAAGGCAGCAGGCACGUAAAGUACCCAAUCCUGACAUGGGGUGGUAGUGACAAUAAAUAACAAUACCAAGCUCUUCGAGUUUGGUAAUUGGAAUGAGUACAAUCUAAAUCCAUUAACGAAGAUCCAUUGGAGGGCAAGUCUGAUGCCCGCAGCCGCGGUAAUUCCAGCUCCAAUAGCGUAUAUUAAAGUUGUUGUAGUUAAAAAGCUCAUUGGUGGACUUUGGGACGGGUCGGUCGGUUCGCCUCGUGGUGUGCACCGGUCGUCCCAUCCCUUCUGUCGGCGAUGCAUGCCUAGCCUUAACUAGCCGGGUCGUGCCUCCGGCACUAUUACUUUGAAGAAAUUAGAGUGCUCAAAGCAAGCCCACGCACUGGAUACAUUAGCAUGGGAUAACAUCAUAGGAUUUCGGUCCUAUUAUGUUGGCCUUCGGGAUCGGAGUAAUGAUUAAGAGGGAUAGUCGGGGGCAUUCGUAUUUCAUAGUCAGAGGUGAAAUUCUUGGAUUUAUGAAAGAGGAACUACUGCGAAAGCAUUUGCCAAGGAUGUUUUCAUUAAUCAAGAACGAAAGUUGGGGGCCGGUACUAUAGCGGCGACUAGAUCUUGGGCGACGGUACUGUAGUGGCGAUGACACUGUAGCAGUGACUAGAUCAAGGGCGACCUGACUCCUGCCGCGUCGGCUUUCUCCCACGGGUGACGGGCGACGGGCGAUGACACUGUAGUGAUGAUCAGAUCUCCCUAGGGCGACGAUACUGUAGCGGUGAUCUGAUUUCCUGUAGCACUGGCUGUUUCCCAAGUGCGACGUUACUGUAGCGGCUAUUAGAACUCCCUAGGGCGAGCUGACUCUUGCAGCGUUGCUUUCUCCCACGGGCGACGGUACUGUAGCAGCAAUCUGAUCUCCCUAGGGCGAUGCUACUGUAGUGGUGAUCGGAUCUCCUGUAGUGUCAGCUUCUCCCCAAGGGCAAAGAUACUGUAGCGGUGACCAGAUCUCCCUAGGGCGACGGUACUGUAGCGGCGAUCUGAUGUACUAAAGUAGAGGCUUUUCCCUAUGGCGACGAUUUUGUAGCGGCGACCAGAAGAGGGAUUAAACAUGGCAGUGACGGCCCCUAGGGCUGGCAACAGUGGUAGGAGGGUUGAUACGAUGGCAAGACUCCCUACUGUUA
rnacentral:rRNA from 1 species